AAACAUGUUAGUAAACGUCAAAGUCAAUGACGAAGUAUUUUCUAAGGCACUAAAUUUCUACUAAAUCGUUCAUUUGCAAAGUACGUCGGUUAAAGAGUAGCAGCCAGUCAUUGUGCUCUGGUUUUUUUCUUUUUAUUAGUUCAAGUUUUCGGAAUUUAUACCACAAGUGGCGAACGCUCUGCUCUUGUGAGUUUGUAGAAAUUAAUAAAAGCGUCCAACUGACGCUUUUUCGUCCGGGCCUAGAGUCCGUAGUCCGUUGCAUCCGCCAUCUUCUUUGGCAUCUGUGCACGUGGUGCACUUCCGGCGGCGACAGCUCUACCAGGCCCGCCUAUUCAGCAGUCAAACGGGGUAGAGAGAACUUCCCUCCAGCCUGCUUGCGUUUCGGUCGCACGAUUCGAUCUGGCAGAGUACUGGAGCUCCGACGCCCUCGCCCCGCAUCUUUACAUCGGCCUUAGAUUCAUCGAGCGUGUCCGUCGACAUUGAAUCUUGAAGCAUCGCCCCCCUGGUCGGUGGCUUCCUUACCAUGCCACUGCCACACUGAAAUCAUCGCACGCCGUAUGAGCAUCCCCCGAUCGGUGAAAGGACAGCAUGACCGACAGCAUAAAAUCCUGCGCAGGUUAGUGAAAUCAUGGCCAUGAUGAACACACAACAUACAACACACACACUAACACACACGAUAUAAAACGAAAGAUGACAAUAUAAGUAAAAUGAAUUCAUGCUAAAUUUA